UGACUAGAAGCAAUUUGCAUUUAACUGUUAAUUAAAAGACAGCCGUUCAUUGUACCGGCCUAGUCAG
rnacentral:tRNA from 1 species